AGCGAACGCUGGCGGCGUGCUUAACACAUGCAAGUCGAACGAUGAAGCUAGAGCUUGCUCUGGUGAAUUAGUGGCGAACGGGUGAGUAACACGUGAGUAACCUGCCCCGAACUCUGGGAUAACUGCUGGAAACGGUAGCUAAUACUGGAUACGACCUACGAAGGCAUCUUCUGUAGGUGGAAAGAAUUUCGGUUCGGGAUGGACUCGCGGCCUAUCAGCUAGUUGGUGAGGUAACGGCUCACCAAGGCGACGACGGGUAGCCGGCCUGAGAGGGUGACCGGCCACACUGGGACUGAGACACGGCCCAGACUCCUACGGGAGGCAGCAGUGGGGAAUAUUGCACAAUGGGCGCAAGCCUGAUGCAGCAACGCCGCGUGAGGGACGAAGGCCUUCGGGUUGUAAACCUCUUUUAGCAGGGAAGAAGCGAAAGUGACGGUACCUGCAGAAAAAGCACCGGCUAACUACGUGCCAGCCGCCGCGGUAA
rnacentral:rRNA from 1 species